rnacentral:rRNA from 1 species
UUUUAACGGCUGCGGUAUUUUGACUGUGCUAAGGUAGCAUAAUCAUUUGUUAUUUAAUUGAUAACUGGAAUGAAAGGUUAAACUAGCUUAUUAGGUUUGUAAAACUAUACAAGAAGUUAAAGUUAAGGUAAGAAUUCUUUAAUUUUCUAGGGGACGAUAAGACCCUAGAAGCUUGACGAAUUGGGUUUCGGUUUGUUUUAGAAAGUUAUUCGUUUUACUGGGGCGGUAAAAAUAAGUAAGCUAUUGUAUAUUUAAAGGAUCCUUAAAAUAAAGAAAAAAUGGAGAAGUUACUCUAGGGAUAA